UACGGAGGGUCCAAGCGUUAUCCGGAAUCACUGGGUUUAAAGGGUGCGUAGGCGGCGCUAUAAGUCAGAGGUGAAAGCCCACCGCUCAACGGUGGAAUUGCCUUUGAUACUGUAGUGCUUGAAUCAGGCUGAGGUUAGCGGAAUGUGUCAUGUAGCGGUGAAAUGCAUAGAUAUGACAUAGAACACCAAUUGCGAAGGCAGCUGACUAGACCUGCAUUGACGCUGAGGCACGAAAGCGUGGGGAGCGAACAGG
rnacentral:rRNA from 1 species